UACGAAGGGGGCUAGCGUUGUUCGGAAUUACUGGGCGUAAAGCGCACGUAGGCGGUUCGAUCAGUCAGGGGUGAAAUCCCAGGGCUCAACCCUGGAACUGCCUUUGAUACUGUCGAUCUGGAGUAUGGAAGAGGUGAGUGGAAUUCCGAGUGUAGAGGUGAAAUUCGUAGAUAUUCGGAGGAACACCAGUGGCGAAGGCGGCUCACUGGUCCAUUACUGACGCUGAGGUGCGAAAGCGUGGGGAGCAAACAGG
rnacentral:rRNA from 1 species